rnacentral:lncRNA from 1 species
GUCCAAACUUAUAACAUGUGUUGUCCGACCUUGUUACUUGUUCAUGUGGUCCGACCUUGUGAUUUGAUAAUAUCCAUCCGCACUUAUAUGAGAUGCCGUCCACAUCUGAUGUCCGACCUUGUGUUAUUUGAACUAUCCGACCUUAAUCAAUUUUAUACCCAUCCACACUUGUUAAAAAUAUUGGGUUUGAAUUGUUAACGUCCGUACAUGCUUAUACAUAGAGAUCGAUACAUUAGACUUUGUUAUUUCAAACUUUUCAAAACCUCCUACUUGUUCGGCGAUUCUCCCACGGCGACACACCCACCUACUCCAAAAACUUAUAAUUUUUGAAUCGUUGUGAUUAAUUUCAGAAUAGUAACAUCAUCAAGCUUGUUUGAAAUUUUCAUGAGUUAUUUGUUGGUGGUGAAAGGCAGUAACCGGGAGGAAGUUGGAAUAGAAGUUGAGACCUAGUGUUAGAGAGAACAGCUUAUAAACUGAAAGUAUGUGUUGUUAUUUGAAGCCACAAAAAGUUGGAAUUAACCUUUUAUGAGUUUUUAACAUGCAGGUUUUGCAAAUAAUUAACAAUAAAAGGAAAAAAAAUCAGUUGUACUUUAAAUAAACAUUUUGUUGAUGCACUUUUGUGUCUGUAACUAGUCUUGUAUUUACGAUGUAUUUUGUACGGUCUUUUGUCGUUUAUCGAGUCUGUAUUUACCGUCGACCAAGUCGGAUAUCCUCCUACCCGCUUGUGUCCAACUUGUUUGUCUCCUUUUGGUUUGUAAUGAUAACACGAACAAUGCAUGUUGCAUACAAGGGUAUUUCUGUCAUUAUGUUUGUGUUUAUUUGUGGUUUGCUGCAACUGUCUGCUUGCAGCAAACAGAUCACAUUUUACAGCCUUCGACGAACACAUAAUAGCGAAACAGCAUAAUGUCCAUUCCAUAUUGUUUCGUCGUUGUCUGCGACGAAACAGACUUGUUUCGUCGGCCUUUGGGCUUCUUCAGGCCCAAGUAUCUGGCCCUUUGUGUUUCGUUGAGCCCAAGUUGGUUUCGUCGAUGCCUUUAGCCCAGGCUGCUAUAUAAACACAUUCUGUUUCACUUAGAAGACAGAGAUGAGAGCAUACCCUUAAAGUCAUUCUGUCAAAAUUGUGUUUGUAUCAGCUGUAAUUCUCAUCCAGAUUAAUCAAUCGAUUGUGUUUCAUUGGUUAAACCUCAUUGUUACUGACUUAUAUGUUUGAUUUGGCUUAGUUACAUGGAUUCCGCACACGUGACUUUGUUUGCUAUAAACAAGGAUUUGGUUUUGUCAUCGAUCCUCCGAUUUCGGGACCUACAAGUGGUAUCAGAGCGUUGGGCUCUUAUCCUUGUUUAAAAUCAAACAUAGUUCGUUUUUAUCAAGUUUUUGUGGUUGAUUUUCAGAAAAAGUGUUCUUGAAAACUCAUAUUUUCCAGAAAAGUUUUUAAAAAUCUGCUUGAAUCUUGCUUGUUUUUCUAAAAGUUUUAUUAAAAACCUUGUUAGUUGUCUGUUCACGUUGAAAAACCAGGUUUUUAGUGAAAGAUUGUGCAAAACUUGGUGUUCGGAAAUUUGUCAUUAACCGGAAAACUCAUAUUUCUGGGUUUGUUCUUCAUAUAUUCAAGUAACAUUCAAAGUGUUCUUGAAUAUUCUUUGCAUUUAAAAUUUAAAAUUA